AAGGAAAAGUCGUAACAAGGUCUCCGUUGGUGAACCAGCGGAGGGAUCAUUA
rnacentral:rRNA from 1 species